rnacentral:rRNA from 1 species
GGCAGGCCUAACACAUGCAAGUCGAGGGGUAACAGGAAAGCUUGCUUUUGCUGACGACCGGCGCACGGGUGCGUAACGCGUAUGCAACCUACCUCAUACAGGAGGAUAGCCCUUGGAAACGAGGAUUAAUACUCCAUGGCAUCAUGAAUUCGCAUGUUUUUAUGAUUAAAGUAUUACGGUAUGAGAUGGGCAUGCGUCCCAUUAGCUAGUUGGUGAGGUAACGGCUCACCAAGGCGACGAUGGGUAGGGGGCCUGAGAGGGUGGUCCCCCACACUGGUACUGAGACACGGACCAGACUCCUACGGGAGGCAGCAGUGAGGAAUAUUGGUCAAUGGAGGCAACUCUGAACCAGCCAUGCCGCGUGAAGGAUGACGGCCCUAUGGGUUGUAAACUUCUUUUAUAGAGGAAGAAACUUGUCUACGUGUAGACAACUGACGGUACUCUACGAAUAAGGAUCGGCUAACUCCGUGCCAGCAGCCGCGGUAAUACGGAGGAUCCAAGCGUUAUCCGGAUUCAUUGGGUUUAAAGGGUCCGUAGGCGGGUCUUUAAGUCAGUGGUGAAAGCCGACAGCUCAACUGUCGAACUGCCAUUGAUACUGGAGACCUUGAGUACAAAUGAAGUAGGCGGAAUGAGUCAUGUAGCGGUGAAAUGCAUAGAUAUGACUCAGAACACCGAUUGCGAAGGCAGCUUACUAACAUGUAACUGACGCUGAGGGACGAAAGCGUGGGGAGCGAACAGGAUUAGAUACCCUGGUAGUCCACGCCGUAAACGAUCAUCACUCGCUGUUGGCGAUAUACUGUCAGCGGCCAAGCGAAAGUAUUAAGUGAUGCACCUGGGGAGUACGCCGGCAACGGUGAAACUCAAAGGAAUUGACGGGGGCCCGCACAAGCCGGUGGAGCAUGUGGGUUUAAUUCGAUGAUACGCGAGGAAC